rnacentral:rRNA from 1 species
GAUGAACGCUGGCGGCGUGCCUAAUACAUGCAAGUCGAGCGAACGGACGAGAAGCUUGCUUCUCUGAUGUUAGCGGCGGACGGGUGAGUAACACGUGGAUAACCUACCUAUAAGACUGGGAUAACUUCGGGAAACCGGAGCUAAUACCGGAUAAUAUUUUGACCCGCAUGGUUCAAAAGUAAAAACCGUUCUUCCUUUCCCUUAUAGAUGGAUCCGCGCUGCAUUAGCUAGUUGGUAAGGUAACGGCUUACCAAGGCAACGAUGCAUAGCCGACCUGAGAGGGUGAUCGGCCACACUGGAACUGAGACACGGUCCAGACUCCUACGGGAGGCAGCAGUAGGGAAUCUUCCGCAAUGGGCGAAAGCCUGACGGAGCAACGCCGCGUGAGUGAUGAAGGUCUUCGGAUCGUAAAACUCUGUUAUUAGGGAAGAACAUAUGUGUAAGUAACUGUGCACAUCUUGACGGUACCUAAUCAGAAAGCCACGGCUAACUACGUG